rnacentral:lncRNA from 10 species
UUAUCUCAAUAGUUAAUAGGAAUUUUUUAGCCAAUGAGUUUCUACUGUUUAUUCGCUUUUUUGUAAUCUUACUGUUUUACGGGUUUGGAAAGAUACUUGACACAUAGCUCCUAUAAUUAUUAUUAUUAUUAUUUUUUUGAGACGGAGUCUCACUCUGUCACCCAGGCUGGAGUACAGUGGCGCAAUCUCAGCUCACUGCAAGCUCUGCCUCCCAGGUUCAUGCCAUUCUCCUGCCUCAGCCUUCCGAGUAGCUGGGACUGCAGGUGCCUACCACCACACCCAGCUAAUUUUUUGUAUUUUUAGUAGAGACGGGGUUUCACUGUGUUAGCCAGGAUGGUGUCGAUCUCCAGACCUUGUGAUUCGCCAGCCUCGACCUCUCAAAGUGCUAGGAUUACAGGAGUGAGCCACCG